rnacentral:rRNA from 1 species
GACGAACGCUGGCGGCGUGCCUAACACAUGCAAGUCGAACGGGGAGUUAUUCAUAACUCCUGGUGGCGAACGGGUGAGUAACGCGUAGACAACCUGCCUCUAAACUGGGGACAACACCGCGAAAGUGGUGCUAAUACCGCAUGUGGUAUCUUGAUCACAUGAUUGAGAUAAGAAAGAUGGCCUUCACAUGUAAGCUAUCGAUUAGAGAUGGGUCUGCGUCUGAUUAGCUAGUUGGUGAGGUAACGGCUCACCAAGGCGACGAUCAGUAGCCGGUCUGAGAGGAUGAACGGCCACACUGGGACUGAGACCCGGCCCAGACUCCUACGGGAGGCAGCAGUGGGGAAUCUUCCGCAAUGGACGAAAGUCUGACGGAGCAACGCCGCGUGGGUGAAGAAGGUCUUCGGAUUGCAAAGCUCUGUCGUUUGGGACGAACGUAUCCUGUGUGAAUAAUGCGGGGUAAUGACGGUACCAAAGGAGGAAGCCACGGCUAACUACGUGCCAGCAGCCGCAGUAA